rnacentral:rRNA from 1 species
UAUGUGAUCGUCUCUCGCAUAUCAAUAAGCGGAGGAAAAGAAACUAACAAGGAUUCCCCUAGUAACGGCGAGUGAAGCGGGAAGAGCUCAAAUUUGAAAUCUUAAAGGGUUUCCCCUUACGAAUUGUAGUUUAAAGAAGUGUUUUCUGUUGAGGUUUUGGUAAAAGUUCUUUGGAAUAGGACAUCAUAGAGGGUGAGAAUCCCGUAUUUGACCUUUACUUUCAACUUUGUGGAUACACUUUCAAAGAGUCGGAUUGUUUGGGAAUGCAGUCCAAAAUGGGUGGUAAAUUUCAUCUAAAGCUAAAUAUUGGCGAGAGACCGAUAGCGAACAAGUACCGUGAGGGAAAGAUGAAAAGAACUUUGAAAAGAGAGUUAAACAGUACGUGAAAUUGUCAAAAGGGAAGCGUUUGACACCAGUGUUGUUUUUCUGAAAAUCAAUUAAAGAACUGUUUAUGCUAAGCUGUUUAGACUUUAUCAGCUAUCUGUUUAGUUUUUAGGCUUUUCUUUAAUGCACUUUUCAGUUAACAAGUCAACAUCAAUUUCUUUUGCUGUAAAAAAGCUUGAGGAAGGUGGCUUGAGAUUCGUCUUAAGUGUUUAUAGCCUCUUGCCUAUGCAGUCGGAGAGAUUGAGGUCUGCAGCGUAGAUCCUUCGGGGCUAAAUGCAUUUGUGCUAAGUUAUAGCAUUUUAUAGACAACUUGUUGACUAUGAUUUGUCUUGUAGCUUACUCGCUUAUGUUAUUUUACCUACGCUUAGGAUGUUGAUCUACAGAGCGAGAGG